rnacentral:rRNA from 1 species
GUCGAGAAUCUUCCGCAAUGCGCGAAAGCGUGACGGAGCGACACCGCGUGAUGGAUGAAGUCCUUCGGGGCGUAAACAUCUUUUAUAAAGGAGGAAAUUUUUGACGUUACUUUAUGAAUAAGGGGCUCCCAAUCUCGUGCCAGCAGGAGCGGUAAUACGAGAGCCUCAAGCGUUAUCCGGAAUCAUUGGGCGUAAAGGGUGCGUAGGUGGUUUGAUUAGUCUCCCGUUAAAACUUCGAGCUUAACUCGAAAAGAGCGGGGGAAACGGUCAAACUAGAGUAUGUGAGGGGUGUGUGGAACUCAUGGUGUAGGGGUGAAAUCCGUUGAUAUCAUGGGGAACACCAAAAGCGAAGGCAGCACACUGGCACAUCACUGACACUGAGGCACGAAACCUAAGGUAGCGAAUGGGAUUAGAAACCCCGGUAGUCC